AAGGGUCUCAACGUUCUUUUUCCCUCUUCGGUAAAUUUGCAGACUUCUUUCACCAUGGUUGGAGUUUGCUUCCCCAUUCUUGUGUCAUGGCUAUGAAAAUCACAUGAACAAAUUUGACCCCAAUUUCGAAUUUCAAACGGAUCUCAUCUUUUAAAUUCCCGCCUAAAGAAACCCCAAGAACCCUAGUUUUCCAUCUAUAAAUACCACGAGAUCAGUGAGCCUUGGAAGCAGUGGAAAAAAGCGACAAAUUCUAAACUACAAUACAAAGCAAAAAAAAAACUUUUCUCCUAAAGCGUCCAGUCUUUGAGUUUCAAUGUUCUUUGCACUUUCGAGUUUGAAAUCGUAAAAUCCAGUGUUCGGGUUCGUGAUCCAAAGUUGUCCAGUUCACUUCCUUGCAGCAGCCUUGAGAGGCUUUAGUCGCUACUUUACUCCCUCAAGCUCUAACUAUUUACUUACAUUUUCUGAGGAAAGUUGUUGUCUCUCUUUUUUCUGUCAAACGGAGGUGUUUUAGGGUCUUCUAAAUUUGUUCGAGAGAUCGAAUAGACUCGACGUUGACAAUCUUAGUUCACUGCUCCACAAGAGGUAAAUCCCAAUUUUCUUCUCUCUGCUAGUAGGUAACUAUGUACUAAAUAUUAAAGCUGUGUUUGGAGUAUGUGCCUAUAUGAAACAGAAUUUAAUUGAUGAGUUAUAUUAAAACAACAUUGCAGUCCUUUGUUUGCACCCAAAUAUGAUGUUAAAGUUGUUCUUUUAGAAAUCGACAUGUUAGUCUUUAUCUACACCCAUUAUGCUAUUUGUUGAACGACUUUAUUGUGUGUUUGCGGAGGAUGUAGAAUAUUGAAUUCCCCUGUUUAAGUAGGUAAAAGGAUGACUUAAAAUUUUCUUUUGUUUCAAAAUAGGUAACUUAGGAAUAAGUUUUCAAAUGUUGCCACAUAUAAUUUAUAACUAGCUAGGGAAGAUACUUGUGAUCUCGUGAGUAUUAUGACUUUGUGCCCUUCCCUACGUUUCUGUUUAUUAAACAUUUUCAAUGCUAGCAGAUCCCAGCUUACUUGAAUUUCUUUUUUUUUUUUUUUUCUAAAACGAAGUUCUCACAUCGUAAGACUAAUACCUUGGGGCGUUAACUAGCUUGUGGCUUAGUGUAAUGAAGCAUGUACACUGGGAAUAUGAACAUUUUAAAUGGGUGUGAAAAUUUGCAUACAAAUCAAUAUUUGUUAAUUUUUUAACCUUUCUUUCUAUGGAAAAUCUUUGUUUGUUGAAUACACUGGUGCGUUGUAGCAUGGUCUAUUUUUGUAUGGCUUAUUUUUGCUAUAAUUUAAAUGAUUAUGUAAUUUUAUUGCAAGUUCUUUCAUUGAUUUUUCUAUACACUUUUGGAGAAUCAGAUUUCUCUUUUCUAAUUCUUAUCUUUCUUUCCUUUUGCAUAUACACUUGAAGCAACAAUUGGGAGUCUCAAAGCUACACUCUCUUGCAUGCAUCGAGUCUCAAUAUGAGACCCCACGCUACCUCUCAACCGAUCAAGGAGUCAAAUUUCUUAUUCCUUAAACUAAACCCACUAACAAUCAAUUCUCUCUUUCCCCUAUUCCAAGCAUUAUCCUUUCCUGUAUAUGCAUGCUAUUACUUUUGUUUUAACAUUUCGUUCUAUUAUUAUGUGAAAUUUGUGCUUUGUUUGCUCUCAUUUGGAUUAGUGAAGACCAUUUAGUAUGAC
rnacentral:lncRNA from 1 species